ACAGCUUGGAUGUAUGAAAGAAAGAAUAACAAUUUUAAUCAUCUGUUCUUAUCAGUUUAAUAUCUGAUACUACAUAUUAAAUUGAUUUUUCGAACAGCAUCGACCCGGUAUUGCAGUACCUCCGGGAACGGUGCAACACUU
rnacentral:snRNA from 1 species